UACGUAGGGGGCUAGCGUUGUCCGGAAUCAUUGGGCGUAAAGAGCGUGUAGGCGGCCCGGUAAGUCCGCUGUGAAAGUCGGGGGCUCAACCCUCGAAUGCCGGUGGAUACUGUCGGGCUAGAGUGCGGAAGAGGCGAGUGGAAUUCCUGGUGUAGCGGUGAAAUGCGUAGAUAUCAGGAGGAACACCGGUGGCGAAGGCGACAUCCUGGACCGGCAUUGACGCUGAGGCGCGAAAGCCAGGGGAGCAAACGGG
rnacentral:rRNA from 1 species